CAGUUACAUUCCCACGCUUCUAUAAUCCUCUCUUGCUUAUAACUCUUGCUUAUAGCAGUAGAGUAUAUCGAGCAUAUCGUACACUACUGGUUUUGAAAAUAAAUUUACAAAAAUGGUAUUGUUUGUUCUCAUUGUUCGAGUUUUUCAAGAUACAUGCAAAACAUAAAAAUGUACUGGAAGCUACAACCGUCUAGACUAUAAGCACCUCGGUUUCCAUCAUAUUUAGAUGUUUCCAUGACGAAUGUUAUCCGAAGACUGACGUCUCUUCCUUCGACAGGAAUCGAUGUUACCUACUACGCAGCAAAAAAUAUUGCUUGCAAAUGCUUUCAAUAUUUCUUCUCGAAUCAACUUGCAAGAAGCUAUAGAAUUUUAACUGUGCUUAAUAAGAAUUUAUAUUCAACAUGUCACACAGUACUUAUGAUCUCCAUUCCUUAAUGGGAAAAUAAGGUUACAAAAGUGGAAAUGUCGUAUAAUACAAUGUUAUUAGAAGCUACAACGGUCUAGACUAUAAGCACCUCGGUAUCCAUCAUGUUUAGAAGUUUCCAUGACCAAUGUUAUCCGAAGA